rnacentral:lncRNA from 1 species
CAUAAGUUAAAGAGGUGUUCUUUUCUGUUCUACAGUAAUUUGGAGAUGUUACAUUUUAAUAUAUUUCAGCAUAUGUUUUUCAUCAAAUGAAAUAAAAACUUUUUCCUUCUGUAAUCUAUUACAAAUCGAACUAUUUUAUUAAAAAAAUACUUUGAAUUCAAGAUAUCAAAGAAAUUGAUUACCUUCUAGAUUAUUAAAUCCCAAAUAUAAUUCUCUGAGUUGUGUCAGAUUUCCAAUACUUCUUGGAAUGAUCCCCGUCAAUUGAUUCAAGGACAAGGACAAAAUUUUAAGGUUGCUGCACUUGCCCAUACUUGACGGAAUGUUACCAGAUAACUCAUUUCUAUCUAAGUAAAGCCCUUCAAGCUUGGGAAGAUGUUGACACAUAUCAUUAUGAAAACUACCUGAUAGGCUAUUGUUGGAGAGAACAAUGGUCUUCAGAGAAGAAAUGUUGAAGAUCGAAGUUGGAAUCUGACUUGUAAGGCCUUUAAUUGCUUGAAUAUUAAGCAAUUCCAAACCAUGAAGAUUACCGAUUUCCUCAGGAAUUUGACCUGCACACAUAGUCGAAAAAUCAAGGUGUCAAACUACUUAUUUUGUUAGCAUAAGUCAAAGAGGUUUUCUUUUCUGUUCUACAAUAAUUUGGAGAUGUUACAUUUUAAUAUAUUUCAGAAUAUGUUUUUCAUCAAAUGAAAUAAAAACUUUUUCCUUCUGUAAUCUAUUACAAAUCAAACUAUUUUAUUAAAAAAAUACUUUGAAUUCAAGAUAUCAAAGAAAUUGAUUACCUUCUAGAUUAUUAAAUCCCAAAUAUAAUUCUCUGAGUUGUGUUAGAUUUCCAAUACUUCUUGGAAUGAUCCCCGUCAAUUGAUUCAAGGACAAGGACAAAAUUUUAAGGUUGCUGCACUUGCCCAUACUUGACGGAAUGUUACCAGAUAACUCAUUUCUAUCCAAGUAAAGCCCUUCAAGCUUGGGAAGAUGUUGACACAUAUCAUUAUGAAAACUACCUGAUAGGCUAUUGUUGGAGAGAACAAUGGUCUUCAGAGAAGAAAUGUUGAAGAUCGAAGUUGGAAUCUGACUUGUAAGGCCUUUAAUUGCUUGAAUAUUAAGCAAUUCCAAACCAUGAAGAUUACCGAUUUCCUCAGGAAUUUGACCUGCACACAUAGUCGAAAAAUCAAGGUGUCAAACUACUUAUUUUGUUAGCAUAAGUCAAAGAGGUUUUCUUUUCUGUUCUACAAUAAUUUGGAGAUGUUACAUUUUAAUAUAUUUCAGAAUAUGUUUUUCAUCAAAUGAAAUAAAAACUUUUUCCUUCUGUAAUCUAUUACAAAUCAAACUAUUUUAUUAAAAAAAUACUUUGAAUUCAAGAUAUCAAAGAAAUUGAUUACCUUCUAGAUUAUUAAAUCCCAAAUAUAAUUCUCUGAGUUGUGUUAGAUUUCCAAUACUUCUUGGAAUGAUCCCCGUCAAUUGAUUCAAGGACAAGGACAAAAUUUUAAGGUUGCUGCACUUGCCCAUACUUGACGGAAUGUUACCAGAUAACUCAUUUCUAUCCAAGUAAAGCCCUUCAAGCUUGGGAAGAUGUUGACACAUAUCAUUAUGAAAACUACCUGAUAGGCUAUUGUUGGAGAGAACAAUGGUCUUCAGAG